AGUAUGGUCAGCUAAUUAAGCUCUUGGGCCCAUACCCCAAACAUGUAGGUUAAAAUCCUACCCCUGCUA
rnacentral:tRNA from 1 species